AGAGAGCUGGACCUGAGCUACAAUCAUCCAGGAGAGGCUGGAAUGAAGCUGCUUUCUGCUGCACUGGAGGAUCCACACUGGAGACUGAACACUCUCAGGGCGGAGCCUGCUGGAGUCCAGUGGUUGACUCCAGGUCUGAGGAAGUAUUCCUGUCACCUCACAAUCGACACAAACACAGUGAACAGAAACCUCAAACUGUC